UUUUUUUUUUUUGCGUGCUCCGUUGGACGUUACUACGAGCCAACUGGGCCCUGUUUCCAGAUGGUACUGUGCAGCAGACAGAGAAGGAUGCGCCGUUAUUUAGCAAAAAAUAAAACUAUUAUACUAGCAUAUUCACGUAAUCAGACAUCUCUGUGCACACUGUUGACUACAGUUGCAAUCUAAGUCAUUUUAAUUUUAUUAGAUUAGUAGACUUUGUUAUACACUUAGAUAUAACUUAUGUCUAGAUGCAUAAUAAUAUCAAUGUAUUCAGAAAAACUAAAACAUUCUAUAAUUUAGGACGGAUAGAAUAAAAUCGUACUAGCUCCUCCAAUACUCCUCUUCAUUAGAAGGAUGGAGUACUAAGUUGUAUAUCUAAUAAGAAAAAUGAAACUAUCCAAUUUGGGCGUGUCUCAUCUCCCCUCUGUACACUGUUCAUCGAAGGAGCGUCAAGUUUCUAUAAACUUUUGGUACGGUAGUGACUUUAGUUUUUGUUUAAUACGUGGCAGUUUAAAUUAUAUUCCAUCCGGUCGCUUAGCUUUUUAGAUACCUCUUCAAAUGAAGAAACCUUAACUGCUUUACAUAUGCUUCAUAUUGCAGCUAUUGCCUAUUACAUGACAGGCAGAAAGGUUAAAUUAUGGUCUCGCUGACUAUUCCACCACUAUCGGUGUUCAGCGUUCAGCCAUCGAUCACUGCAGUCGCACUGGACGAGUGAGAUCUCAACCAAAAAGCUCAUUUGAUUGGAAUCUCUUUGUAAUGAUAGUGCAAACGGAUAGCUUGCCGGUCAUUUUCAGCCUGUGUUAGUACUAAUUACGGCGUCCUUUUUCCGAAAGCGAAACGCAAAGAUUCUCCAAAAAUAAAGACACGAUCCAAGCCAUAAUUCCCGUACAGCUAGCUCUACGUCUAUUCAUCCGCAAGUUGCCUUUAUUUCCUUUAAUUUUCUCGUUUCGUGACUCUACAAAUUCGAAGGGACAAAAAAAAGGAAGGGGCUAGGCCCUCUAAUCCAACAACAAAGCUCACCUCAAAAAAACAAACAAACAACAAAGCUAUUUUAUGAUAAUGAUGACUGGGGCCAGCAUCCAGAAAGCACACAGCAAGCAGCAAGUCAGCACCACACAGCAACAACUUCGUACAAGAAGGAUCGAGAGCCCAGCGGGCCCCAGCGCCAGCAGUUGCGAAGUGCCGGUUCUGCCCACGCGCCGGCACGCGAUCCGGGCCGUCCGGCGCGGAUGACGCGGGACGGACGGCCGAGAUGGGGCUUGGAGCCAGAGAUAUUUUCGGAGGCGCGCCUCCAGAAGGUUCCCGGUGCGCGCACGGCUGCCCGCGCGCUUUUCUGACCGCGUCUCGGGGGGAGCGCCGCGCGCGUUGCGGCCCGUGGGCCCCACGCGCCUCUGCCCGCGACCCUCCUCGGCUAGGCGGGUAGGCCCACGGGUUUGCUGGUGAAACUACGACGACGCCACUCCAGGUGCCCAGCCAGCCGUGAGCCUGGCUCGCGCGUCACGCUGCGGACGUGGUGGCGCGCGUGCCACGGCGGCGGCUAGCGAGAAUGGGGGGGAGGGGAGGGCCUGCAUGCGAGGCCCAGAAAGUUCGGUACGCCGCGGCUCACCGUGGAACGGGUGCACGGCGGGGCGGCGCUGGUCUCUCUGUCCCGGUAAAGCGCCGACGACGGCGACGAGGCGAGCAGGGGGUGGACGGGACGGGACGGUGCGCUUUAGGAAUCACCCAGAACCUUAUUUUAUCUAUCUGAUAUUGGUGAUGGGUCGUGAUCAGUCGGCAGUGGGCUUGUUGCUGUUGCUAAUGAUACGGCUAGUGGUCGCUAAUCUAAUCGGUCCCCGUGGGACUCGUGUUUCCUCGGAGACAUAAGGAAAUCCUGUUUCGUCAGUAGUAUAAUAUGAACCUCUUGUGGACCGCUCUAAAAGAAGCGACCGGUAGACGGUUGUACCUGCAUGAACCAUUGUGACAUUCUGAUGGACUGACGGAGAGUGUGACAAACUGAGACGGUGUUUGGUUCAACCUCUAGUAACGCAAAUGGAAAUGAAAUCAGUUACGCGGGAUAAGUGAUUAUUGUCUUUGUUUGGCUGCUAAAUGUAACGGUAGCAAAUCACGUAGAAGAGAAGAGUACGUUUGAAGGAACCGUCCCUAUCAGAGUUAUCAGCCGUUGGCCUGCCCAAAUAGCAGUGUCGUGGUAACGUAGGGGUGGAGCUCCACUCUACCUCGAAGACGCUAGCAAGCUCCACCAUUUGAAGCACGCCAGCCACCGCCCGCCGCUCGUUGGUAUCACUGAGAAGCAGCAGCAGGCAAGAGCUAUAUAGAAGAAAAUACAUCUGGAAGGAGGGGGAAGAAGUGAUUCAUGAUUCUUUUGCCGGAUAAGAAGCAAUUCAUGGUGCUUUUGCUGGAGACGGCAGGGUGCCGGUGAGCUGGUCACCAGUGGAGCUCCUCUACAAAGGGGAUGGUGAGGGGUGUACUGCUCCCUUAUGGAACGCGAGGGGCCAGAGCUCCUCGCCCAUGAAAAGGAUGGGUAGAAUAAGAGGUGGGUAUUGGAUGAUCUCGCUGAACAGAGGCAGAGGUAGCCAUGGUCACCGGCAGAGCUCUAGCGCAAGGGAUCAGGGGGGCGGGAGGAAGAUGGCGAGGCAGUCGAAGAGGCAGCGCUCGAUUCUUCAAGCGGCGGCAAUACCGGGGAGGCGGGGAAGCGAUAACAGCCGCAGAUGGGGUAAUCGGAUAUGAGUAGCUUGGUAUUGGAUUACGCGGUGUUUGACUGUGUCGAAACAAAUAUAUUUAACGGGAUCUGUUAACUUCCGGAAUCUGAUUACGUUACAAAUCGUCCAACCAAACACUAUCUGAUUGGUUAACUACACGUCACCCCAGUCCUUAGGUAAAAGGAUCCUGCCAUGUCGUGCGUUCUUUUUACCGCGCAAUUACUGAGUGAAACUCGACUUUUUGAUACAUAUAUUUUGAUAUGCAUCUAGAUAUCUACAUCUAUACAAGUAAGGCCUCCUUUUUUUCAUCCGUCGUGGUCAUUUUGCAAAAAAGUCCCUCAUCAACAUUGGGUGGAAAAGGGAGGGAAGGGAGGGGGUUAAACCGAAACAAACGGUUUCCCACGCAGGAUCUGGGUCCGGAUCCGGCGGGAGCGGGCGGCAGCGUGGGCGGUCGCACCGCCUCGGCCUCGACUGCGCCAGAGCCGCCUCCCCGACCCCGGCCGCGCCGACUACGCGGGGUGAGCUGGCUGGUCGGCCAGGAAGAAUGUGGCGACGGCAGCCACAAUGAGGCGCAGGAUGAGCGGCCCCUCUCUUUCUCUACCUCCCGGGGAUGGCGGGUCGUCGUGCGAGUCGGAUGGGGACGAGGAGCCCAAGGAUGGUGAUGGCGAUGGGGUCGGGACUCGGGAGGUUCCAUCAGAUGGUGGCGGCGGAGGGUGUGAGGCAGGACGCGCUCGUGGCAGUGCUGACGAAGGUGGACACGCGGGCGCUGGUGCGGCGGGGCGACGACGAUGGCGCGGAGGCUGCCCCCGACAUGAUUCCGCUCUCUGUGCGCACCAUCAUGUAUCUCUGCGCUACAACACUAUGCUGCGUGCUGCUGAUGUCGUCGUCCACCACGGCAUCCUCUCCAUGCUCUGCUCUCAGCUCCUGGCCAUCGAGUAUAUCGAUGUCACUAAGCAGGUAAGCAAAAUGUGCUGGCCAUCAGAUCGUAUCUUUCAAUCUGAAAUCUCUAGAGAAAAUUAGUAAACAAUGAGCUAUGCUCAUAUGGAAGUUAGAAUGGCGUUUGUUUCUAGCCAAUAAAGCUGUUUGGAUAUUGGUCUGAAAUUAUAUAUGUUUCAAGCUAUUGAUUCUCUCUUGUUGUAUUAGCAUGGUAUUUUAGCAUUUUAGGGACCAUAUUAUGAAAGCGCAACUGAUGUCUUGGAAGAAGCUUUUUGAGGAUUACGUUGGCUAGCCUGUUCUAGCAUCUAGCUUUGGUGGAAUGAAGAAACCCUGUGCAAUCAAAAUGAAAGAGGAAAGGUUGAGAAGAUAAGUUGUGGGCGCAAUUGAUUGUCAGUACCAAGUCUAUCUUUUUUCCUGGUUCAUGUAGAGCAAGUUGUCAUCUGUUUUGAUCAUUUUCUUUUCUUACUGCAGAUGUGAAGUGAUGUGAGUUUGAUGGAUGGCAUCAAUGUGUUUGGUCCCUUCAAAGCAAGUAGGUUUGUCUGAUCAAGAAGAGAUGCUAUCAACUGGAUGAAGCAACAUCUUUCUUUUACUUAUCGCACUGAAAAUCUGCUACCAUUAAGAGAAUUGCACUACACACUUCAGUUUGACAAUUUCUGAAUCACGUGCUCCCUUCGAGCAGCAAGCUAUAGUGAAGCAUCUCCACAUAAGUAGAGAUUAAAUGUGAUACAAAUAUUAAUCCCAGGAGGCUGAUAACACAUUUAUUCAACAGAUGGUUCAAAAACCGUACAACUCCCGAAGGAGCGGGCGGGCAAGCCACACCCAAAGGAGAACUAAACCAACAACGAUCCAGAUCCAAGUUGCAGUCCAGUCGUACCCCGGGCUGCAAUCGGAACUAAGCGACAGCGGAAGCAUUCUGCAAAGGCCAAGACCACAGACAGCGUUGGGUGCGGAAGCGACCUCCUACUCGAAAUCCUCGGCGACGAAGUCCGGGUCUUCCUCUGAAGCAACAAAACAAAGGUGAGUACAAAAGUACUCAACAAGUCCAACCCCAACCACAGAGGGGGAAACAAUCGAGAAUAUGCACAGGAUAUAACAAGGAUAUGGCUAAGGCUUAAUUGCAUUAAAGCUAGAUUUUAACACAUGCAAGGGUUCAUUUUCAAAAGAGUUUUUCCCAAGCAUUUCUUUUUGUAUCCGAAUCAUUAAGUGGGGUUGAUCCUACACAAAGGAUCCAAGUUUUAAUGCUACCGGACUCCCUGCUCGCGGUAGCUCACGGCAUAACUGCCGAACACUUCCGAAAUUUAACACACGCCAUGAAAAUCAUCCAUCUCCAAACACUAGUUAUGUGAUCAAGCCGUAACUCAUCCAAUGCCGUGGACACAGCUACCCGGAUAAGUUUUAACUCUGUAGAGGUUGUACACUUUUCCCUAAGUAGGGUACCGCAACACGAUCACCUUAGUGUCGGUGCAGAUCCUAACAAAGCCAUUACCCACCUUAGUUAAGACUAGCUAGCCAAAAGGAAGCAACCAAGGGGUUAAUGACCUACCAAUGAGGUCUUAACCCGGACCUAAGUCACAAAGAUCUUAUUCCUUCUCCAUGGUCUCCCGUUGCUCACCAGCUCACCUGAUGACUAUCAGACUAACUAGUGGGAUUUAUGCUAAGCUGUUGCCGCAUACAACGGUCGAGUGGUUGCACGAUGGUUAGAUUAGUCAAGAUGACACAUCAACUCGAUUCUUAACCAUGACAAGAUAGAUAUCUCCCAACUUUGCUCAACCACAAAGGUAUAAGCCCAACUCAUUGGUAUUUCACACAAGAAACACCCAUCCAUCUCAUCUAAGCAUUUCUUUCCUUUAUUUCCAGAAACCAAUUUUUCCUUUUUAAAAACACUCACAGAUUUAUUUAUUUUUGACGAAACACAUUGUAGUCAUGAUUGAAUUGAGUAACAAGGUCCUAAACAUUCCAGUAGUAAUUAUCAUCCAAACAAAGCAAGUCAUAUUUAGAGAUAAUUAUAGGACAUCAAAGAAUAAUCAUAACAAUCAAGGGGUGGCUAUCCAACCAUGUUUCAGUGGUAAAACAAUAUGCAAUUUAUAAAACAGGCCAAUAGGUUAUGUUUGAAAAACUAGGAUAAAUAUGCAUCAAAGGGUAAGAUUGGACUUGCCGUCCUCAAAGCCUCCCGGGAGUUCCUGCUCGCGGUGUUGGUCUUCGGGCUCAGGCUCAUGGUCAAACUCCUCCUCAUGCUCCCCCUCGGGUACUCCACAAUCUAUGGCACACACAAUCGAGCACACAAUAAAUAAAUAAAAAUUAAGGUUUUACCCGCCGAGCUUCGAACAGAGAAUGCGAACGGAAAAUAGAAGGAAUGAGUAUUUUCAUGAAAUUUGGAGAUGCCUCAGCGAAAGUAUAUUGGAGGAUGUCAUGGUCGAAUUUGGGAUUAAUUGGAGGAAGUUUGGCGCAUGAAAUGAUGAGUUAACGGAGUGUUAGGGGCUUAAAACAAGGUUUAGGACUAAACUGCGAGAACCAGGGGCCUAUUUGUAAUGAUUUUUGGAAGGUGGGAGGGCUGAUCUGUGAAAAGAGUUUGAGAGAGGUGGGAGGGUUAUUUCGCGAAUAGGAAGAAAUAAGGGGUUAGAUCGAAAUGGAAGGGAAAUUUCCCUUCUCCUUCCUUGACUUGGUAUAGGAGGGGGGAGGGCAAACCGGCGGCGGGCUGGCCGGCCUAGCUCGCCGGCGGUGAGGCCGGGCGGCGGGGUAGGCGGAGGAGGGUGUGGGGGAUCCAUUUUGGCCCUCACCUUGGGCGAAUGAUGAUGGGAGAGGGGGCGCCGGCGGUGGACAGGGAGGCGGCGGCGGCGGUCCUGGCGGCGGCGCGUAGGGACAGUGGAGCAGGGGGCGGCGAGCUGGAAGGUGAGGGUGAGGUGGUGGCGAGGGACGGCCGGGCCUUGGCCCUUUUAUAGGCGGCGGGAGGGGGCGGCGUCGAGCGGCAACAGGGCGGCAGGGGCCGGUGGCCGGCGAGCUUUCAAUGGUGGUUGGGAAUAUCGGCCGAUAGCGUGCUGGAGUGGAACUCCGGGUGGAGGACGUGGAGGGGCCGGGCUUGGGCGGCGAGGAGCACAGGGGGCGCACAGCGACGAUGGCCGAUGUGACGGGCGGCAAGGCGUCGGGCGCGCAGCGUGCGGGGCCGGGCGAGCGGGGCGAGUGGCCAGGUGCGAGCGGCGGCGUGUGGGGCCGGGCGAGCGGGUGCGGGCGGCCAGGUACGGGCGGGCCAGGCGCGGGGUCGGGGCACCAUGCGCUAGGCGCCAGAAGGAAGGGAGCGUGCGCGCCAGGAAGGAAGGAGAGGAAAGAGAGAAGGAGAAGGGAGGAAGAAGGAAGAAAAGGAAGGAAGAAAAGGAAGGAGAGAAAAAGAGGAAAAAGGGAAAGGGGAAAAAGGAAAACGGGGAGAGAGGGGGAGUCGGCGAAAAAUGUGGAAAUGGUCGGGCACACGCGAUGGAUUUUGACAGGCACGCGGCGAAAUUUGCGAAGGGAGAAAAGGAUGACUGUCGGUGUUGGGUGCCGGGACGGCGGGGUCGCCGAGGAGGAAAAGAUUUUCGGGAGGUCAACGGUCGAAAGAUUUUGAAAUAAAUUUUUAGCGGGUGAUUUGAGUUAGUAAAUUUUACAGAUGUUACAUAUAGGGGGUCAACAAUGAUAUCCUGUCUGAUGAGAAGUUUGAGUUAUUGAGUGGCGAUGGUUAUGUGUAGAUUCCUGCUAUAAUUUUGCUUAAACUGACAGUGGUGGAGAGUCCACUGCUUUCCCUGAUGGUGGAUCAACCAAUGAAAGUAGGAAGCUUCCGGCAUUUUUGCUAGGCAAUCUUCUAGCCACUGCUUUCCCAAAUUCUUUAGGCUGUGUUGAACAUGUACUCUAUACCGAACAUUUGUUCACUGAAGUUUGUGUUAUCGUUGAUAAGGUAUGCCCAAAUUCGGCUAAUAACCUAUCACCUGUUCAUUGCUAAUUGUUAUACUAUGUUAUCUUCUUCCUAUUGUACUUUGUUUUUAGCUUUGGGAGCUGGCAAAUUGUGGUAACUUGUAAAUUAAAGUAUGAUGAUUUGUAUAUCUUCUUUAGCUUCUUACAUUUUUAAUAAUGAACUAGAGGACUUGCUUGAAUAAAAAAAUAUUUUAAUUUAAUGGAUAUUUGAAUUGAAGGAAAUAAUUAAGUCAAAAUUCUUUUAGUUUUCAAUUAAAUGUGUAGACAUCCAAUAAGUGGAAUAAAAAUUUAGUGAUGAAAAUAAAAAUAUCAUUAGUUUGGAAAAUAUAAUUAAUUUUUUACCAUAGCAACGGAUGUAUAUUUUACUAUACGUAGUUUUUAUGGCACGAAUAGAAUUAUAGGAGGGGGGAGUAGUAUAGAGUACUAGUUGCUCACGCGCGAUGUCGGUAUCCAUUGAUCCCCCGCAAAGUCUACCUACGUAGUAGCUGACGCGCGAUCUCUCCCUGGCGUCAACCAGACAACCUGACAGGAACGAGCAGAAAUUUUCUUUACAGUGGACCGAGAUGGCCCAUACUUCGAUCGGCCCAGCACAACCAACCAACAACUUACGUGAUCUCACAAAAAGAGCCCAACCUUCUUCUUCCUCCAAAAUCAUCACUAAGGGGCCGGCCUAGCCAUUUGUACAAAGGGUUUUGUAGCCCAUAGCCCAACCAGCCCAAUACAAAUUGGCGUAAUCGCAGCCAAGAAUUUCUUGCCGCUGAAAUGCUUGGACUCUGCUUGCGGCAUGACUCCAAAUGCAUCUGCAUCCUUCCAAGUGUCGUCUCCCGGUCCUUCUGGACGCGACAGCACACCACCUUCUCUGAAGCAUCUCGAACUUUCGCUGCCGCUCACUUUAUACCCAUCCGGCUUCCGGCCAUCCCCUUCCACCCUGCACUUCACCAAAUCGAAGAACGCACAGCAGAUCCAUCGCCACUCGCAGUUGAUCGAGUCGCAGCGUUGAGCGAGGGAGUGAGGAGAAAGAAGCCAUGACGGAGCUGUUCGACACGGCCGUGACCAGCCUGCUCCACCUGCCGGAGGUGCUCGACCGCCUCGCCGCCGCGGACGGUGACCGCCGCUCGGGCGGACACCACGGCGCGCACCACCACGGGCACGCGCGUGUCCACGGUCUUGGUGGCGGCGGCGGCGGCGGCGCGCCGGUGGACAUCGUGGAGACCCCCGGCGAGUACAGCUUCCUGCUCGACGUCCCCGGCCUCUCCAAGUCCGACAUCCAGGUACGCGCAUGCUGACAUGCGAGUCGCCGCCCCGUUGGAUUAGAUUCGUGCCGGACCAGGAACGAAACAAAUGACAUCUUUGGCGUGUGCAUUUGCUGGGCGCAGGUGACGCUGGAGGAGGACCGGGUGCUGGUGAUGAAGGGCGGCAGCAACAACGGGAAGCGGAAGCGCGAGGAGGAGGAGGAAGGCGAGGGGUGCCGCUACAUCCGGCUGGAGCGGCGCGCGGCGCCGCGGUCGUUCGUGCGCAAGUUCCGGCUGCCGGAGGACGCGGACACGGGCGGCAUCGCGGCGCGCUGCGAGAACGGCGUCCUCACGGUCACCGUCAAGAAGCAGCCGCCGCCGGAGAAGAAGACCAAGUCCGUGCAGGUCACCAUCGCCUGAGCGCCCCGCGCGAGGGAGUGAGCAGUCGGUUUUCAGUAGCAGUCUAGCAGUAGGGAGUGUAUAACGUUGGAUGCUCUGUUUGUGUUCUGGAGACUGGAGAGUAGGGAGUUCGUUGCCGAGUUGGUAGCGUGGCUGUUCGUCUUUUGUGGAUGUCGCUGUGGGAUGGAACGAUGGAUCCGAAUGUCGGUUGCUAUCACUAGAACUUGCACGAGAUUCCAGUAUUCCUGUAAUUGUUAGUCUCUUCUCUCUGAUCUAAAUUGAUUCCAGUAUUCCGGUCUUUUUUUACAACGGAAUUCAGAACUUUUUCUAGCCAGAUAGACGAAGGCGAAGUGUCGCGUUCGCAUGGCAACAGCAUCGACGUCCCUACAGCAUCGAUGUCCCUCCGGCAUGUUUCAGACAAGGAACAUUUGCUGGCGCACAAAGCAGUGGUGCGCGAUGUUACCUUGUGAGCAGGAAAGGCACGGCGACACCUGAAAGCUUCAGCCGGCGCCCGAUUGCCAGCUGGCCCCGGCAGGGUCAGAAUCGAGCAUUAACCGCUUGGUAUGGCCUGCGAAUCACGGUGGGGCGACUGGCUGGCUUCGUCUUGGACGUCGCCGUUAAGCCUCCAAUAAUUCCGCUUCCUGAUGAGGAUCGUGUCUCCGUGCCUAUAAAGAGCGAGAGAUGCAGCGCUCUCGAUUCGGUGCCAGUUUGGCGAACGCGAGCCUCCGAAAUGCGUCAUCCACUCGUCCCAGCGGUCAAGACCACCGCAUUUUCAGCACGAGUAGAAAACGAAAACGUCGAGGAAUGCUCGUCUGGAAAUUCAGUGACCUGUCCAGGCUCCCGUGGCACGGCGCUGUCCUGGACUCGCUGCACCAUACUCCCACCUCGUGCGACGACUAAACGCGGCAAGGUUGACGUUGGAGAAGUUGAGGAAUUAAUGUUGCCCGCUGCAUGGAUAUUUUUUGGGCCACAGUCACUACAGAAGGAACUGUUACGGCGUAAUUUGAGAUGGUUCUUCUCCGGCAAUGGCAUGACUAGCCAAAACGGAGGUGAGUGUGCUACAGGUGACCGCAAGAAUUGACCCGGGCCUCAGAUGCGGCUCGGUACCUGUCACCCUGUUACUGUUCCUGAAGAACUCGCGAGACGCUCUCGUUCGUACGCACAGGGAAACUCCGAUCACCGUUAUUGCUUGACACUGGACGGGUCCCAGACCAGACGACCCGAGCCCCCGACGUCUCCAGAGUCCACAGUCUCCAGACCCUUCCUUCAGUUUCUUUCCCGCAUCAUGUGGGAACUGGGAACCAUACAACACUAGCCGCCUACUCUACUCUAGUGACCGAGCAGAAGAGCGCUGUUGUCUGGUACUCUGACCUGACAUGCCACCGGCGUUACCGCCGCACCACGCGUGGUCUGCCGGACGUGGCAGGCUGCCCGCCGCCGGCGAGAGAGCAGGGCGGCGCCACGCGAGACAAUUGGACGCCUUUUCGCGGUAGCACUGGCCGCGCCUCACGUGGAAUGCUAUUGCUAGUGCAACCACCGCGGCGGGCCUACGGCCCAAAAGGCUUGGAGUGGCGCGGUGGCGCCGCCGCUCUUGUUUUAUCAGGAAAGUUGCUUCUUGGAUAGAUACAGCAUUCAGGAUCAACUAAUUUGGACUUUGGAGGCAGCAUGACUGAUCCGUAAGAAGUGCCGUUCUUUUGAUCAAUCAACUGAGGGGUUAUUUCGUUCCACCGACUAAAGUUUAAAGUUUCAUAUCAAAUAUUUAGAUACUAAUCAGGAGUAUUAAACGACUAAUUAUAAAACUAAUUGCGCAGAUGGAUGCUAAUUCACGAGAUGAAUCUACUAAGCCUAAUUAAUUCAUGAUUAGUACAUAUUUACUGUAGCAUCACAUUGUUAAUUAUGAACUAAUUAGAUUUAAUAGAUUCGUCUCGCGAAUUAACCUCCGUCUGUGCAAUUGAUUUUAUAAUUAGCUCAUAUUUAGUCCUUCUAAUUAGUAUUGAUGUGAUACAGAGUUCAGUUCUAACACUCCCUGAGUGAUCUCGCCAUGCAGCUGAUUCUCUGCCAAAGCACGAGAUGGUCUCCGUUCUGCUAGUCUGCUAGUGCCCUUUUGUUUGCCGUGCAGGUCUACUAGGCAAGCUGCAAGCCUGCAGCUGGCGCUGCUUUGCUCUGACGAGCCGUGCGAGGUUGACAUGAACGGCGGAUGAUCGUCCGGGGAUACAUCACACAUGACCAAUCCAAUCUAAUCCGAUCGUGAUUGCUGGCCGGCUGACGACGAUGCACAGAGCCAUGGCGUCGAUUGCUUGUGCCCCAGGCAGGCUUUGCUGAUGAGUGAUGACUCCCCCAGCCGGCAGCAAAAGCAGCGGUGCCCUUGCGAAGCGGUUUCUCUGCAGGCCGUGCAUCCAAUCUCUGCAACUCCUAUCGUGCACACCCAUCUAUUCAUUCAUCGCACUGACCUGAGGCCCCCGCCCGCCUGUCCCAAUUCUGCGUGUACGUGUCGCCUACUCACCGCUGAAUGCCUCUGGAAUCGCUGUCUCGAGUCGUCUCUUGAGGCUCUCGCGGCAUGGCAUGGCAUGACCGCAUGGGCCUCGUGCGAUGGGUUGGCCAAGACGAUUAUUAUUCGCGUGAUCUUGCUCGUCCUAUCCUACGGGGUUGAGAGAAAUCCUGUGCUCAUGCGCAACGUUAUCACUUCGUAUCAUGAAGGAUCUGACAGGGUAGAGAUGGUUCGUGACCAUGAUUAUAUUGCUGUGGUUGUGUGUGCAUGUCCACGGUCGUAUAUGCUAGAAAUAUCGCUGCUUUUGGACAUGUCAUGAAUUUCUCCUCCAUGGCCGCCCAUGUGUUCCUGCCCGGUGAUAUCUUCAGUCAGGUCUUGUUGCCCUGGAAAAAUGGUGCACUCCUGCAGUACAUGCAUAUAAUCCUGCUUUACGCGUGGCUCUCAGUUGGCGUAUUAUUCAGGGUACGUGCAAUAAUACUCAUAAUGAUUACCUAUUGAUGAAUUUUUAUUGGAGCUGAUCGUUUCAAGCCACUCAAUCUUCUUUUUUUUUUUGGUUUACUCCUUGAAACGGAGAUCGGGAAAAGAAUAAGGAUCACGUGAUGCGACACUGUUAAUAACAAAUCAGAAAAUGGAACAUAGCCGGACAGUUGUCAGUAGGGGAUUUUAUUUCUGGUUCUGAAGCAUAUAAACAGGAAAAUGGCAAUGAGUAAAAGCUCCAUUAUUAUUAGCUAUAAAAUUUACUGCGUGAUUCAUUAUUGAAAGAAUUAAGAAAUUUCGCUGAUGUGACUUACAUAAUCACUUGUCUUUAAUUUCCAUCUUUAAUGAAGAACUAUCCAGUGAUUUCUAGCAAGAUUAUUGUCCCGUUUGUAUCCACCCAACUAAAAUUUAUAACUAGCUAGGGAUGUUUGGAUCUACAAGCUAAAUGAUAGUUGAAAAGCUACUUAUCUAUUUUACCCCUCCCUUCCACUUUAGAAAUUUUUUCCGAGGAAGGUGGACGGGCAAUUUGAUAUUUAGCCGUUUAGCUGAGUUUAGCUAAGUUCAACCAGCUAAAUGAAUCUUUAGCCAACUAAACUUUAAUCAGGUAGUUGGUGGAGUUCCCCGGUACAAAAUUUUAUGACCUCCCAAGGGCCAAGACAGUGUUGGAACAGGCAUCGUACCAGACAAUUCUCCGAUGCGUACCGAUGUCCGAUGUCGUAUCAAUGUGUAUCAAGUUGUGAUUGUACAUAUAGUUGACUUUAUUUAUAUAUGUGGUGACCCAUUAAAUAGGGGGAAAUAAUCAAAACAUUAAAACUCAGUUCUCUCCCAUUUUCUUAGCAAGAAACAUGACUUGCCUGAACAAACGAUUAAAGGCCGAAGUUUCGAAUGACUUUCAGAGGAAUCACUAAUUAGUUCCUUUUUCCCUUGAAAAAUGUAGCUUGUAGCACGUUGUUGACACUGCAUGUUCUUUUCUGUGAGCCGAUGAUCCGUGAGAUGACGACUGACGUGGACAGCAAUUCUCACAUGCAAAAAAUGCACGCAUCACCUCGGUCCCAAAGCUAGCGCUGUCUGAAACCGGCGAAAAAGAAGAAACACCACGUCAGCCGAUCGAACACUGCACCAUCACAGCAUUGCAGCAAGCUUUCGUGCUUUUCCCUUAAGCAGUUAAGCUAGCGCCAACGCCGGCGGCCGAUGUAUACAUGCAAUCGCAUGCACACAUCGCCGUCACGAUCAUAUCGCUACGCAACAUCACCGGCACUGUACUACGUGCGACGUGUAUCCGCGUGUGCCUCGUUCGUCGCGCUAGCUUCUUGUGUUCUUCCUCGCAUUUACUUAGCACAUGCAUGGGAACCGUCAAGGGCGUAUUCUAAUGUUGCGCCUCGCUCGCUCCUCUCGCUUUCGCGUGCGGCGUGCACGCCUCGACCAUUCCCGUCCGGUGCCCUGCCCUUUGUCGUCCUCUCGAUCCAUCGUCUACAACUCCCGGUCGCUCAUCGCCGAAAUCGACAGGUUAUAUGUUAAUGUAAUCUUAACUCUUACCAAUUCAUCACGAAUCAUGGAUGACCGUGUUCCAACUUGUGAACCAAAAAAAAAAGUGUGCGUGACGUUAGUGCUGCGAGCUGAGGAUCACAUGAUCGUUUCACAAAAUAUCUCGUUGGUCGUAGUAAACUCAAAUGGUUGUGUGAAUUGUGAAAUAUGUGGAGCAUGCCUACUAGCUACCUACCGUAUGUCUAUGUACAUGGACUUUAUGCACAUGUACCCACUCAAUAUGGUGUUUAUAAUUGCUGCAGAGAUAAUGACAUGCCAAUAAUGGCAUCCAUGUUGCUACCGAGAGCAAUUCAACUACAUGCUGACGCCACCCCCAAGUCCUUUGUGUUUAACAUUUGUUUAAAUCCUCACAAACGUUUGCUAUUAUUUCACAUUCUUUUACUCCCUCCGUUUCGAAACGUAGGUCAUUUUGCCUUUUCUAGAUACAUAAGUUUUGCCAUGCAUCUAGAUAUAACUCUAUAUUUAGAUGCAUAAUAAAAUUUAUAUAUCUAGAAAAGCUAAAACGAUCUGUAAUCCAACGAGUCACAUACUCACAUAGGCAAUCUACUAGCAAAAGAAAAAAAAAGCACAAGAGAAGUAGCUAGCACUGUGUGCACCCAACAACAAGGCUGUGCACCUUUUUGUAGGCAGCGGGUGGCGCAACAGAAGAACGUGCGGCUCGGGCUCGGCGGGUGCUCUCGUCGAGGGCCCAAUGAUUGAAGUGCCCCCGACACGCAAACCUUGAGGAGCCCAACAGGAUGGCGCCACGUCUGCUGGUCACCCGCCGAGUUGACUUGGCCAUGUCUCGCCAUCUCGUCAGCCCUGAUUUCCUUCGUGCACGGGUUUUGGUUGCGUAAUCAAUGACAUGAGAUGAUGAAUUGUGAGUUUGUGAGUUGUCAAUGAGUAGGAGAUUAGGAGCAGUAGCUCGUGGCAUGUUAUUGAACUCACACCCGCUGACAUUGUUAUGAUAUUGUUUUCUCGCCGUGAUACACUGGUGUGAUGUGUCAUGAAAACUAUGCGAUCUCAAUUUCACGUGGUUUAUCUAUAAAAACUGUUCUGGCUUGGUAAAUUGUAAACAAAAACACAUGUGAAUUUGUGGCUGACCGGAGGAUGUUUUGUCAACACGAACUCAUUUUUGGUCAGUGGAAGAAUGUAGGAUGGGCCAGCGAAGGUAAUUCGAAGGCCAAGCACUACAACUUCUAUUUAAAUUCUUCUUAAUCUUAAGUGCUUUAAUAGAAAAAAAUAGGAUCACUACUUUUGGUCAUAAUUAUAAAAUGCUUUAAUUGUGUACAGAACAUUGUAACACAAUUGUUGUGUAGAAUAUUACACCAUUUGAGUGUGCAACCUUAUUGCAUUUUUUUUUUGGUUUCUACUGGAAAUCUUGCAUCCUUUUUGCUUGGGCUGGCAUUGGUUUGCUCCUCAAUGCAAGUCUCAGGACUAUUUUAUUGAAUAAACAAAGGCAGUCCCUCGAAUUCCCAAUUUGCUAAAUUCUUUCUUUCCCUACAACACGAAACGUGAUCCCUAAGCAAAGAUAUUUUCUUGGAGACGAAUAAGCAAAAUAUAUUAUAACAUUAGCCUUCACUAGCUAGUCAGCAGCUAACUACUCUUCCUCCAAGAUCACUGUAAAAGCAAAUGAUUACCUUUUUUUUUUGUGUCAGAGUAUAUAGAGCAAAUAAUGUCAGAUGCUAAAACAAAGCUUUUGGAUGGAAAAUUGCAAGCAGAAAAUCGACCCGUACCACUCAAAUUGCCCCGAAUCAUGUUUCCCAUCAUCGUCGCGUAGCCUGCCAUGCUAAUGUCACCUUCCAAAGAUGCCUCCUCCUCACCCAUCUGGCCUGUGCUUAUCUGGUUGGUGUUACCGUCCCAGCAGGGCACCAAGGGCAAACGGAUUCCAACCAAAUUUAAACGGGGAACAAAAAACGCAACGCCGUAACAGGCCUACCUGUGCUGUGCAGCAGCUGUAUUCGCCGCAACCUCCUCCUCCUUCCUGUGGCUUCCUCCUCCUCCAACCCCUCCCCGCCUCCGGCUCACGGAUUCCUUCGCCUCGCGAAAUUCUCCUCGCCACCACCACCACCUCGUCCUCCCACGAAUUUCCCUGCUCUAGAAGCUUCCCGGGACGCGGUUCGAGGCCUGGAUCUUUGGCCCCGAGGCGCUGCUGCGGUUGCGUGGGGGUUCAGAGCCGGCGCGGGAGCUGCUGUGAUUCGCCGGGGGCGCCGCGGGGAAUGCUCUACCUCAAGCUGCCGGCGGGGGAUUUAGGGUUCCGUCCAGGGGCGGCGCGGCGGGGAUCCGGCGGUGGUGGGGCCUGAGGUGGCGCGAGCGGGUGAUCCGGCGGAGGCCGGCCAUGGCGGCGGUGUCUGCCGCGAUGGAGCAGGAGGCGGAGGCCACCUGCCUGCAGAGCUUCGAGCUCCACGAGAGCGAGUCGGUAAGCCUACCAAUGCGCUGGUUCAGCUCGUGUUUGCAGCAGCUGCUGCUUUGCCGUUGCCGUUGCCGUUGCGUGCUGAGGGAAGUAUUCGGGCCUUCGGAUCGGUUGAUCCCGGAUGGACCAGAAACCCAGAGUACACAUUCGAAUCCAGCAGUUAUGAAUUCUAGUAUUCAUGUCGUUGGGAAUCGCUAUUUCUCAUCGAUUCUUGCCUAGUGUUUUCUGAGUCAAAUAGUGUCGAAGCUUCGCUGCAAAACUAUGCUAUUCCCAUAUUAUCCGCCGUUGUGAUGAUUAGAAUACUAGUUCUCACGCAUGUUAUGGGUAUGGCAACAUGUGUGGAAAUGUUUAUCAUACAGAACCUUUUCUGUUUUUGUUCUACUUGUGUGUAUGUAAUGAAUUCACAUGGUACUCUGAUCUGCUGACAUAUAGUAAAACGUUAGAUUUAGCAAUUUAUUUGAAGGUAAUGCAAAAUUGUCCUGCUUCAUAUUUUAGAAUCUGCCCUCCAUUCCGUGAUAACCUUAUUUCUAGCACGAUAGAUCAUCAGUUUCCAAAGUGGUGGACAAAGCAGAUUAGUUUUUACUUCUGAUCACAUCUGCAUAUAUAUAUGCCUUGUAAGGCCAUUAUUAGCAAUAAUAGGUACAGAGUUUAAGUGGUGCUGGAUAGAAUCAAGUGGGAAGGAGGAAAACUUCUAAGGCUUAGGAGUUUGUUGAAAUUUCCCUCUGUCCUUUUUUCUGAACAUUCCACCUGUAAUCACCUGUUAGUCACCGUGUUUGCAAAUCAGUAUUCAAACCAUUGAUUGAAUUGAUUAAUCUAUCCGUUCAACAAAUGAUGCACUUCCUUAUCACAUUUGACAUUAGUGCUAACUGCUAAGUAUGUUUUGCUUUGCAGACACUUUAUAUUCUUGGAACUAACUCUGACAAAACACUUUGGAGAUUACUCAAGAUUGAUAGAUCAGAGCCAUCAGAGCUUGUUAUAGAUGAGUGUUCUACUGUAUAUACUGAAAGUGAACAUUAUGACCUGCUGAAAGGUCUUGAUGAAGACCACAGGUCAACUGGCGGAGUAAAAUUUGUUGCAAAGUUUUACGGCAUAAUUGGUAAAUUUACUUCUUUGUUUUACAAACUGAGAAACAUUUAAUCUGUAUACACACAUUUGAUGAUAAAUUUUGUUCCCAGGUUUCAUCAAGUUCCUUGGACCAUAUUACAUGCUAAUUAUUACUGAGCAGAAAAAAAUUGGGGAGAUCUUUGGUCAUCCAGUGUACCAGGUGACUAGGACUGCAAUGGUUGAAUUAGCAAAUUCUAAGACAAGAUCUACCUUUCAAAGCUCCAAGGAUGAGAACAGGUUUGGUUUGCCUCAUUUUAGUAUCAAAGUACCAAUGCUGUAUCAAUCGAGGAAAACUAGAUGUAUCAAAAUAGUAGCUGUAGACGUCUACUAUUUUCUUCAUUAACUUAAAAUGGUUGGAUCAAUCAAGGAAAAAAACAAUGUGCAAAAAUAAGUCUGUGGAUGCCAUUGUUUUUUAGCUUAUUUAGUUUACACUUUUUAUUAACUCAACUUGGCAGCAUAGUUAUUAGGACCGGACUGGUCAUCGAACCGGUAAGAGCUUCGGUUCAUUGGCUCAUUGGUCCAACCAUUACGAGCUGGUUGAACCGCCGGUUCAAUAAUCUUGGACUGUUUAAUUGAACCGCCCACGAAUACUUAAGAACCGGAGCAUAUAUCCAGUUAACAAUUAGCAAUAUAUAGUCGAUCUCAAAUAAAACAGUAGAUUAAGAAAUCACUUUACACCACUGUCCGCAUGUAAACUAAAACUGUUUUCUCUUAACACUUGAGGAUUUACAGCUCCGUUAUAUCAAGUCUCAAAUCUUUUGGUGCAAAUUAUUCAAUUCCCGUGCAAUUUCAAGUAUAACCGCAUUCCAUUUAUAGAUCAUCGUAGGAAUUUCAAUCACAAAUAUGUAGCAGAUAGCAGGAAAAGGAAUUUACAUUCUAGCAAUAGCAACUUGGCAAAAAGCAGUACCAUCAGGUAGGUAGCACGCAGCAGCGAUUCCCAGCCUGGCCCUGCUGCAGCCUGCGGACUGCCUUCUAUGCCUGCUCACUGAGUGCUGCUAUGCCGCACCCUGCUCGCCGCUCAUGGCAGCGCAGCCACACCGCAGCCCCACUCACUGCUCAGGGCCUCGUCAUCGGCUCGUUGCGCCACCGGCCGCUGCCUUGCGCGCUCCUCAUGGCCGCGUCGUCGCGCCGUUGCGCUGCUGCCUCGCUCGCCACUCACGGCCGCGCCGUCGCGCCGCUCGCUGCCACCCCGCUUGCAUCGGCAAAGAAGAGGAAAUGGCUCCUGCUCCACGCCGCCAGGCUCAAGGGAAGGAUUGAAGUGAGAAGUCAAAAAGAUAAGGUUAGCGUGUGAGUCCACCAGAUGAAAAUUGGAAUGCACAUCUCACUGGUCAAAAGCCAUCCGGUUCAAAUCAAAACCGUCUGGUUCGCCGGUUCAGUAGAAAACCGGCCGGUUCGUUCAGUUUUUACCGGUCCGAUUGCGGUGUCGGUCUUUUAAGUGAACCAAGCCGUUGGAGGCUCUGGUUCGGUCUUUUACCGGUCCGGUCCUAAUAACUAUGCUUGGCAGUAGAAAACUUUAUUGUCAUCAACUAUGUCCAAAGGCAGCUUAUUUCUUUUUUAAUUCAAUUUCUCCAGAUCUACAGCUAGCUACGUAUAGUACUAUUUUUUGAACCAAAUAAAAGAAAUGUGAAUCAUCCUUUCAAGUUUUUUUUUUCUGCUGACACUGAAUUAUUGCAAUUCUUCAUAAUAUAAUCUAUCUCUUUAUCUAAUCCUGCAGAUACAAGAAGAUCUUGAACGCACUUGAUCUUAGGAAGGAUUUCUUUUUCAGUUAUUCAUACCACAUCAUGAGAAGUCUUCAGAAGAACUUGAGUGAUCCACAUCAGGAAGGAUGGACCUUAUAUGAGACAAUGUUUGUCUGGAAUGAGUUUCUGACACGUCGGAUCCGUAACUGUCUCAGAAAUACUUUGUGGACCGUUGCAUUGGUCCAUGGUUUCUUUAAGCAGGUACAUGCUUAAUAAAUUAGUCUCCUUUGAAUCAGAUUGUCACUUUUUAAUGAGAAGAUACUAGAAAUGCUUUUAUUCCAAAAAAGAGGUGCUACAAAUCAGCUGGGUUACAUCUGGUUGUCCUGUCUAACACAAUCACAUUGCUUAGCAUUUAUUUCUUCCCUCAGUUUCUGUACCGCAAUCAUUUCAAAAAUAACAUUCUUAGAUUCUACCUCUGAAUACUAAAAAAGGUCCUGUUGACAUGUUUUAAGGAUAAAUUCUCAAUUUCUGGGAAGGAUAUCAUGCUCACACUCAUUGCUAGACGCUCAAGACAUUAUGCUGGGACCAGGUUUGUGCUUGAAACUUAUUUGUUAAAUAAAUUGUCUCCCCUUACUAGUUUGGCAUGAUGUUUGGGCUUACUGUAAUGGAUAAUGAGCAGAUAUUUAAAAAGGGGGGUGAAUGAGAAGGGCAGAGUAGCAAAUGAUGUUGAGACUGAGCAAAUUGUCUAUGAAGCUGUGCCAGGACCUAGUGAAGUAAGUUCUGUUGUGCAGAACAGGGGUUCAAUCCCACUAUUCUGGUCUCAGGAGACAUCAAAAUUGAAUCUUAAACCUAAUAUAAUUUGUAAGUUCCAAAACCUUUCUAUGAUUCAUCCGUCACCAACUCAAGAUUACCAAUCAAAACCAACGCUUUUAUCAACUUUGCGUGUAAAAGUUUCCCAUUUUUGUCAGUGCAUGAAAUGGACAGCGAUUAUGAAGCCACCAAACUUCAUUUUGAAAAUCUUAGAGCAAGAUAUGGAAACCCUAUCAUUAUCUUAAACUUGAUUAAGGUGAGUUUACCUUCUUAUUCUGGAGUAGCAGCAUCUUUUCAUUAUAUCUGUGCAUGAAUGAUAAUUUCUCCAUGUCUUUGUUGUUUAUUGGAAGACACGUGAGAGGCGAGAGUCUAUACUUCGCCGUGAAUUUGAUAAGGCAAUCAAGAUAAUAAACAAGGGCUUAUCAGAGGAGAAUCAUCUAAGGUUCUUACAUUGGGAUCUUCAUCAAAACUCUCAAGGGUAUUCAUUGUUAUAUUUCUCAUUCAUUUCCUAUUUGUCAUUGUCUUGUGGUGUGUUUUAUCGAAGUAUUCUGUUUCAGCAAACCUACAAAUGUGCUUGAUGUUCUACUGAAAGUGGCAUUUCGGGCUCUAAGUUUAACCGAGUUUUUUUAUUGUCAAAUUGCACCAAGUUCGGAGACUGCUGGUCACUGGCCGACUCUGUUGUAAGCUUUUUUCCCAGUACUAGCUUGUUCACUAUACAGUUCACCUCUGCUGCGCUACCUCAAGAGUUGGUACUACUGUUCUUUAAAAAUUUAAUUUGUUUUUUCAUUCGUGCUUUAUAGGAGUGGUCUUGAUCCAUACUUAUGUGAUGACAACAGCAAUAGUGACAACACAGAAUGCACUGAGAUUGUUGGUGAUAUAUCCCAAGAGGAUAUCUCUGGCAGCUCUGAUUCCUCUGGUAAUGCAACUGCAGAAGACAAAGUUGAUAAUAGUGAACUGCCACCACUAAAACCUCCAAAAUUCCAAAAAGGUGUUUUGCGGACAAACUGUAUAGAUUGCUUGGAUCGUACAAAUGUUGCUCAGUAUGCGUAUGGUUUAGCUGCUCUUGGACAUCAACUGCAUGCGCUUGGUUCUAUAGAAUCUCCAGAGCUAGGUUUAGAAGCUCCCUUGGCCCAUCACUUGAUGCACUUUUAUGAGAGUAUGGGGGACACACUUGCUGUACAGUACAGUGGUUCGGCUGCUCACAACAAGGUAAUUUUGCGGCAUGUUCUUUGGUUGUAAUGUCAGGAAUGAGAUAUAACAUUUGGUUUGGGGGAUUUAGAACUGGUUAAUUCAUUAGCUUAAAUUGCAGUAUAACACAUGAGCAUACAAAGAUGCUUGCACUAGAACCAGCAUACACUAGAACCAAUCAUGGAUGAGUUUGCUUGUUUUGAUACCAUUGCUUUUGUAAGGAAAGAAAAAUAGUGUGUCACACUAGAGCCCUAUCUGCUUAAUGGACAUCUGUAAUUUGUACCAUAGACAGACUUUCAAGAUGCUAGACACGAAGUGUUCUCAUGGGGCCACGGCAGCUGGUCUUUGGAGGAAUAUAAAAUUGGAACUUAUAAAUACUGACACUAAGUUGGAAGCACAUAAUAUGCUUACAGUUUUUAAACGCAUAACUGUUCACUAAACCUUGAUGAAGACUGAUCAUGGCACCAACAUAACUCUAUAUGCAAAGGGGAAAAGUUAUGCAUAAAAUAAUGAACAUCUUUUUAUUACUCAAAUCUCCUAAUAACCUAGCAGUUCAAUGAUCAAGCUAAAACAAAAGGGCCCAUUUAAUUUUAAUCCCAUAUUUUCAACUAGCUAAGCUACUCUUCCUCAAAUGAAAAUGUAUCUGCAUUGCUUUGUGGCAAGUCUUCUUUUUACCUCUAUCCUAUGUGCUGUUUCAUGUUUAGCUGUUUGGUUUCGGCAUUGCUCUAAUUUUUUCUUUGAUUUGUCCUUUUCUGAAGAUAUUCUCUGCAAAGAGAGGUCACUUGAAGCUUUUUAUUCAGUCACAAGAGUUCUUCAGGACACUACAACGGCACUACAGCAACACCUGUAUAGAUGCUAACAAACAGGCUGCCAUAAACUUGUAUGUUUUACUGGGUAUCAAUGUGUGUUAAGCAGAGAGUUUCUUUCCUUUUAUUAAUGUGUUGUAUUGUGCGCGUUAACUGUGUUUUGAUGUUUUUUUUAUUUAUCACCUGGUGUUCCCCUUCUUGUAGAUUUUUGGGAUACUUUCAGCCGCAGCAGGAAAAACCUGCACUUUGGGAGCUAGAAUCAUCUUCUGGGGAGCAUAACAAUGAACUUUUUGAUGACCACCCAAGGUAAAUUAAAAUUAUAUGUGACAACAUAAGUACCUCUAAAGCCCUAAGUGUAGUGAUGCACAGUGACUACAUAAGUGGCUCAUAUUCGUGUUCUAUGGUUCUUGUAAUGCCUUUUCAUGUGUUUUGCAGCCUAUAGCAUUUUGGAAUAUGAGCCUAUGCUGAUGUCUAGUAAAACUAGUUUAUUUAAAGACAUUUGUAUUCAAUGAACUAGAUCUAAUAUUCUUUCUUGAGGUUGUACUUUUUUAUUUUAUUAUGUUGGAGUAUCUUCAUGUUGUACUGAAUAUAUGCACAUGUGAAGUAAUUGACAAGCAGAAUUUCAAUGUUCUGUUAUCAUUGUAAAAUAAAAGAAACUAUAUCUUCAUUGAUUCAUUAUGUAGGAUUGAAAAACUUCAUGUGAUUUAAUUUUCUAAAAGAAACAUUACAAAUUAUCUGCAGCCGUUGCUCUGUUGCCGAGUUACUUUUCUUUUUGAGAAAAAGGCUGGCUCAGUCCUUAAUCAAUAUAAAUGGCACUAAAAUCCUUUUGUGAAUUAGACUAGAUAAAAUAAAAGCUAGAGGCACCAGGGACCCAUAUUACUAAGAUGUUUCCUUUACAGCUAAUCCUACUCAAGACCACCAUUUUCUGAUCCUAUUUACAUGCUGGCCAUUUUGUGUGUACUCUUCUUGGUCACAGUAUGGAUAGAUCAAGGCCUCCUUCGGCAAGCUUAGUUGAUUGGAUUGAACAGUCUGUAUCUUUUUUCAUGGCGCAUUAAGUAUCCUCCUGUAUUGAUUGAAAUUAGCUGACAAUGAUAUCCUACUAAAGAGUACACAAGGGUGCUUUAACUUUUAGUGCAACCGUCCAAGCGGCACUUGUCAUGAUAAAGGCUUGGUACUGCUGUGCAGUAACUAAAAAAAAUACAGUGACUGAUUGGAGGUUUUAGUGUUUUUCAGUAGAGCUGAGGCCUGAGUUGUAUUUUUCUUAAAAAAAAUAUCUUGCAGAAUGUUUUUGAAUUUGAAGCACUGUUUCUAUUUAUGUCUAACACUCUGAUGAACACCAUGAGACACGAGGAACUCCUUAGCACAUCUGAAGAUAACCCAAAGUUUGAACCUUUGAAUGAAGCAUGCAUGUGGUAACUUAGAGCAUCGUUCUUAUCAUUGACUGUUUAUUUUGAUGUUACAGUACAUUGAAAAGAAUAAAAUCAGAUGGAGGUUUUCUUCAUGAAAGCAAUGCAUCUAUAUCUGGCUCGGGUCAUUGCCAUAAUGAACCGUUGAGUGAAUCACAGCCUGAUGUUCAGAGUGGGUUACAAGUUCCAAAUUUGGAAUCUGAUUCAGUUCAUGAGAAUGAAGUUUCAUCAGGCUAUGAAAGUGGGGUAUCACACCUAAGGUAGAUUUAUGCUCGUUUAGGAUUUUACCUUCAUCUAUCUUCUUUACAGUUACCAGAAUAAUUUAGUAUGAGAUCGUGAGAAUGUGGUGGUUUAGAAUUCAUAUAAUGAGAUUUCCUGUUUACUUGACAGCUUCUUUGUUCUCUAAUAUUUGUUUUAGGUAUACUCCCACAGCCUCUGAUAUACUUCAUGUACCAAGGGCUGAAACUGAAUAUGUCAAUGAUUCUGGUGAUUCAAACUUCCUGGAUCUUGAAUGGCUCUCUACUUCAGGCAACUCAAGUGAUGAAAGGUCAACUUUUCAACUUUUUUGCUUUAUCAUCUAUAAUUCUCAUUUCUCAUGCAUAAUACCAUCGUAGCCUUCAGCAGAAAGUUUUCUUUGUAAUGUUGUAUGCACCUUUCUUUCUUUUAGGACCUGAGCUAGGAAAACUGACUGGGGGAAAGGAGAAAAAAUUUGAAGGAUAAUUAUAACUUGUCUGUGCUAUUAUUUAUAUAAAGUUUCCUUGCUCUUGCAAUCACAUAGCUUUUUCAGUACUAAUCACAGAUCUGUACAACCUUUUUCAGUACCAUUUAAUAAAAUAUUAUAUCCUGAGAACCACGCUGGACAUGUUUUGUUUUUCAUGCUCCAUUUCGCUUAUUGCUGCUGCUUUGUAGACAUCAACAGAAACACUUUUCUUUCCUUACAGUUUUUUGUUCAACUGUGCUUGAACAGGUCUAUUGCAACUAGCACACCAGACGCAAACCUAUCAACCGAGAAUGUAAUUAGUGGCAUAACUCCUGACGUGGUGGUGAGGAUAUGGCUCAAAAAACCAUACUGUCUAUAAAACAAUUCCUUCUGAGUAUUUUGGUGCAUUGGAAUCUGUUCACAAUUUUCUAGAAAGUUUAAAUGUAUAAUUUUUUGUGGUGGUGCUUUUCAGGAAAACCAAGUUGCUGAGAUUCAGGCUCAGAAGUUACCUGAGGAUUUUGUGCAGUGGGUCAAUCACGGGGACACCUUUUGGUUUUAAGAUUACAAUGAUGCUGUCCCAUAUUCUCAUGUAUUUCUGGCUACCUGGAAUAUCCAGCUUCUCUUCCUGGGUACUCAUUGGACGGAUUUGAGUAGGAGAUUAGGAGGUGAGAAUGAGAUGAUGGUACAGCAGUUCAGGCAUUUCCCUUGCUGUAUGCCCGCACCAUUCCAGAGUCCUUUAGGCAAGAUUCGAAAAAAAAGAGUCCUUUAGGGAAGCAUAACAUCUGUUUAUUUGGUCACAUCCUUUUUACUAUGGGCGAGUAGGUAGAUAUACCUUUUCUUUUGAAUGAAAAUAGAAAUAGGCGUGGUGAUUAUUAUUCAUCUGAAAUUGUAUCAUUAUUCAGGGAACUUCUAUUUUCAUGUGUAAAUAUAUAUGCUUGAGGUGCCUUUAGUGGAGGUGGAGAGCAAACCACCGUUUAUUCCCCCAACAUCUUUCCCCUCCUUUUUUGUUCUGGUCUCGCGGAACAGUCUGUUAAGAAAAAACUGCUUGGUUAUCAUUUAUCAUGUACAGUGAACUUUAUUGCGAGCGUAUAUUCUGAUGUCCAAAAUGUUAUAUUCUUUGUCGACGCCUUUGGUCAUUGGCUUCCUUUAUCCAUUGUCCAAAAGUCUUAUUACUAAGAGCAAGACUUAUAGCAAUUGCUACAGGUGUGGCCACAUUAGGCGGCAUUCCAUCUCGAGGCAACCUGUAAUUUGGCUGUAUACUACGAGCGCUGCACACGCUCCAAACAAAGCCGCUUCUUCAUUGCCAUUGUCAAUGGAAUAGUCAGCCUCCGGAUGGGCCUGACCAAUUCUAUGACAAUGUAGCAAAUUGACAAUGUAGCAAACUUUUAGCAGUUGGAACAUAUUGGUUGCCAAUACUGGUGAGAAGGAAGUUCUGCACGAAUGUGCUGAGGUUUCAUGGUUUUUUGAGUUUUCGGGUGUAACUAAACCUCAUUACAUUCUGAAUGUGGCCGUUUAUCUACGCAACACUGAACCAAGUACUUCCAUAGGCAAUCUUCUAAAUGAUUUGAUUUUAACGGUUUUUGUUAGUGACUUCUAUGACAUUCAGCCUGUCAUACAUUUUGAUCACCAAGACAGACUUUAUUGCCUCGACCUCGUGACUAGAAUGAUUCCUCAUAAGGGAGGAUAAUUUUUUUUCCAUAAUUUCUUAGAAGUAGCAACAGUUCCAUCAAAUCUUCUGGGAGACCAACAUUCCCAUGCCUUGCAUAAAUUUCUUGCUCAAUAAUUUGAGCUAAAGCUAGCAUGUCAUGCCCCCUUCUGUUCCCACCUAGAUCAUGUAGUCUUGACUUUGAAUAACAGACAGUAAUCAUCCUUCAGAAAGCCAAUAUCAUCAACUCCAAAUUUCCCUAGCCUCACAUCACCGUCCAAUGAGUAGCCUAGAUCAUGUAGUGUAUCAAACCAUCUGCAAAAUGCACACCCUGUCAGCAUUGCAGGCUCAGAACACUUGUUGCCCAAAGAAAGAAGCUAGAAAGAAAGAAACGAAGAAACAAAUUCCUCAAGGUAGUUUACAAAUUCGGCUCACUUAGGUGAUUUGGAGUUCACUGUCACUCGAUUUUUUUCCUAUCCAAUAUGGCAUGUGAUGCCGUGUGUAAUGUGGGAAUAUGAAAUGAGAUUCUUGUAUAGCUACAUGGUGGCGAUUGCUGUGGCAGCCUACUGCCCCUUACUAGCCCUAGUAAGCUUAAUGAAGAUUUUCUUUGUAGUUCUGAAAUUUUUGCAGGUACCGAUUUUUUUUGUGCGGGGACUAUGCAUUAUGUGUUCUUGGCUAGUAUGAUGUGUUUCUAAUGCUGGUUUACUCUCAUUUAUGUUAGCUUAAUAUACUUCCGUUUACGGAUUUAUUUGUGGUAAAUUACAUAAUAUGCUAGAUGUUAGGUUAGUUACAUCCAUUUCAUUGCUACACAUGCUACAUCUCUCCUUUUUACCUGGACUUUGUGUCCAUGUUAUAUGAACUGACUCACCUGCUCUGAAAAAUCACGCGAUCUUGUAAGACAUUGCAUUAAUCAAUUCAAUUUAAUACAGUAAUCAUGUACUGAAAUGACAAUUAUAUUUCAUAUGUAAACUUUGUCUUCCUUUCAAAUAAAAACUGUGGUCUUAGAUGUUUUUAUUUCCAGGAUUUAGUAUCAAUGUAAAUUUAUAUUGCAAUAACUAGACUACAUUUAUUAUUUUAUGUAUUUACUUUGUUGUAUUUGAUUCCUAUUAAUCAAAUUUGGGCAAUACUGUUCUUUGCAUCCUUUAAUUAUCCCCUACGCUCUGAUUUGGGUGAUUUGAUGGGUCAAUUCACACAUCUGAAGAAAGCCAUCAUAUCACACUCAAUUUAUGGUACAUACUAGAUGUUGAAGGAAAGCAAUACAAACUUCUAGAGCUUUUCCCACAACUCAUGAUCCAUGAUAUUUUCCAUGAAGGCACUAGAUGAUGUUACUAUGAAGAAAUUAGAAUAGUGUAGAACAUAGAGAUUUCUCUAGUGAAAACUCUAGAAAAGGACACAUGUCAUUAUACUAUGAACUCCCUUGACCUAUAAAUAGAGGAUCCCUUCCUUGCCAUGCCAUUCAACCAUGAGCAUGGUAGAUGAGUGGAGUAUGGUAGAAGUAAAGGGUGAGUGCUAGGCUAGCCACUAAAGAGAGGGUGUUGUACACAAGAGUGUAAUAUUGCUGUGUUGUAAUAAAGUUAUGUUUCUUACAAGUGUUAGUCUCCCGGUUGAGCCAUAUAGUUUCUAAGUAUUUAGUGCAUAAGUUAUGAUCCAUCGAAGGUUGGCUCUGUCACCCGGGAGUAGAAGGCAUCUCAGUCGCUCAAGCAAUGGAAGUUAAACAUGUGCUUUCUAACAUUCGUACUGAUUUCUCUAUACAACCACGCCUGAGCGGUCACAUGCAUUUUGUGACUAAUGCGUCAUACUUGCUAUGUCGUAUUUUGGGUUUAACUGUGUUGCAUGGGUGGGUUCUAAAUCCUAAAGUUAGUAGCUAUAAUUCACUUCAGAUUCUCUCAUGAAGAGUUGCUGAAGCACAUCUGUGAUCUAGAAGGAUAAAAUGACCAAGUCUGUGAUGGUCCGCGGAGUUAAUUCUUUGCCAGGAACAGAGACGAGAUGAGGGGCAAGCAAUCACCGAUUUGCUCCGCGUCCCCCGGACGCGCUCGUCCCAUCGCCGAAGAGAAGGGUGGCUGCAACUGCAACGCGUUCCACCCUCCCUGCUAUAAAUAGCCAAAGCUCUCCCCGCGCUGUCCUCCCUACCGAAAUAUUCUGACACCAACAGAGGAGAGGAGAGAACCAGCAAGCGUACGCCACUGGAACGCGUUCCACCCUCCCUGCUAUAAAUAGCCAAAGCUCUCCCCGCGCUGUCCUCCCUACCGAAAUAUUCUGACACCAACAGAGGAGAGGAGAGAACCAGCAAGCGUACGCCAUGGCGGGCAUGAACCAGGGCGUGGUUGCGGUGAAGCCGACGCUGGCCAAGGGGACGCCGUCGGCUUCGUUCCGGCUCCGCAACGGCAGCCUGAACGCGGUGCGCCUGCGCCGCGUGUUCGACCUCUUCGACCGCAACGGCGACGGCGAGAUCACGGUGGACGAGCUGGCGCAGGCGCUGGACGCGCUGGGCCUGGACGCCGACCGCGCCAGCCUUGCCGCCACCGUGGGCGCCUACGUGCCCGAGGGCGCCGCGGGGCUGCGCUUCGAGGACUUCGACACGUUCCACCGCGCGCUCGGCGACGCCUUCUUCGGCGCGCUGGCGGACAAGGACGACGCCGCGGAGGGCGGCAAGGGGGGCGAGGACGAGGAGGAGAUGCGGGAGGCCUUCAAGGUGUUCGACGUCGACGGCGACGGCUUCAUCUCUGCCGCCGAGCUGCAGGAGGUGCUCAAGAAGCUGGGACUCCCCGAGGCCAGCAGCAUGGCCAACGUGCGGGAGAUGAUCUGCAACGUCGACCGCGACCACGACGGCCGCGUCGACUUCAGCGAGUUCAAGUGCAUGAUGCAGGGGAUCACCGUCUGGGUUUAAUUCAGCAACUCUUUUCUUAUGGGUUUAAUUCUUUGCCCGCGGAGUUAACUGAUUAUGCAAUAGCACUACUUUUCUGCCGCAACAAAUUGAAUAUUAUUCACAAGCAUUGUGAUGUUGUAUACAUAUAUGUAACUGAUGAGGACAUUCGCAAACAAAUGCCUGAAGCGGUUUGGAUGUUGUUUGAAGAGUGCUAAAAAAAAAUAUUUACUUCACCGAAAAGUAUACCCCUGUCAAAGGACAGUCAUGUGGAUGGAGGAUGAGACUUGGAUGGAGAAAUAAAAAUGCUGCACGUAACAAAAUAAAAAAAGAGAAAAGAAAGUUGAGGCAAUCAUCUCAAUAAGGACAAUCUCAUGAUGUGGCCGUCAUCUCUAAGGAGAAUCAAGAUUAACGAUUCUUUUAUAUAGUUAUCACGAAUUUUUUAAUUAUGUCAAUUUAAGAUAUAAGUUUAACUCCCACAGGAAUUAUGUUUGGUUCAUCUGUAUGCAGCACAGUAGGUUCUGCAAUUUAAAUUAUUUAAUGACCUUACAGUUUCCUUUCUUCUGAACUGGAAUUUCAAAAAUCAAAUACAUAAAUAGGAAUUUCGAGUAAUGUUUUGCGCUUCCUUGUGUUAUUAAAUGUGACUUUACUAAGUUGCUGUAGAUCGGGCUUUUCUUUGCUGUCUGCUAUAUUGUAAGGUCAUCUGUUACGUGAUAACAAAUUGUAUUAGUAAUGUCUUUUGUCGUUGGUACCAUGCUAUUUAUGCAGCCGAAUUAAGUUUAAAUACGUUUGGGUUGUGAAUAUCCUUGUUGAACAUUGUUGGCAUUGGCUGAUAAAUUUACUUUUUUAAUUAUUCUUUCUUUUGAUGAAAUAUGCUUUUACUAUGUGACUGCCUUUUCUUUACCAUUUAGCAUUUAGAUUGGAAGUGAUUCUAAAUUCUAAUGUUAAUAUGGUGCACAACAUCAUUCUUUAAGCCAACGAUGUUCUAAUUAUGCACAGUAGACUUGACCGUGAGGUCGCGGUUGCAGUUCAGUUGAUUGAGCACAUAAUGUUUAUACCUUUUACAUGAUCUGUUUGCUGAAUGUUGAAAGUAGGUUUAUAAGACAAUUUUAUUUGCAACUAUUGAAGGAAAGCAAUACAAACUUCUAUAGCCUUCCCCACAACUCAUGAUCCAUGAUAUUUUCCAUGAAGGCACUAAAUGUUGUUGCCACGAAGAAAGUAUAAUAGUGCAGAACAUAAAGAUUUGUCUAGUGAAAACUCUAGAAGGAGACACAUGUCAUCAUCCUACGAACUCUCUUAGCCUAUAAAUAGAGGCCCCUUCCUUGCCAUGCCAUUCAACCAUGAGCAUGGUAGAUGAGUGGAGUAUGGUAGAAGUAAAGGGUGAGUGCUAGGCUAGCCACUAAAGAGAAGAUGUUGUACACUCUUGUGUAAUAUUGUUGUAUUGUAAUAAAGUUAUGUUUCUUACAAGUGUUAAUUUCCCAGUUGGGCUAUAUAGUUUCUAAGUACUUAGUGUAUAAGCUGUGAUUCAUCAAAGGUUGGCUCUAUCACCCGGGAUCACAAGGGUCUGAACUUCAUCAUAGGUUGGUUCCGCCGUCUGAAAGUUAGCUUCAUCUGUUGGUAGGCUCUGCCACCCGAAAGUGAGAAGGCGGCUCUGCUGUUGAAAGAACCCAUUGCACUAAUUAACUAAAGAUUAAAAGGGCUGAUCGACUUCAAAGUAAAUUGGUGUCCUAGGUGUAGGUCCUCAGAUUAGUGGGUAUUAAGACCACCUCAAUUUCCAACACCAGAUUUGAGUGAUUUGAACCUCCAAAUCACCUAAGUGAUGAAAGACUCCAAAUCACCCAAGCAGGAUAUAGGCAGACCCAUUUUUUAUGUUAUCUAAUAUCAAUUAAAUGCUACAUCAGCCACCAAAACAAUUGGCAGGCAGUGGAUGUGAGGUUUAUGAGAACCUUUCAAAAUCUCCACGGAUCUUUUCUCAAUUGUCACUGCACCAAUCUAAUUAUGGUAUCUUUUGUUUUAAUGGUUUUUACAGUCUUUUGUUUCAAUGAAAACUUCAGGAAGCUCCUGUGCGCCCCAAUGAAAAGCUAUCUACAAGUAAAAAAGUAUCGAUUUGCAACUCUUGAACCAUUAGUUUUUUAUAAGUCUCAUAGAUGCAACAUUUUACACUUUCAUUCUUGCAGUCCAAAAUCCUUCUUGUGUCAGAUCUGAACCCGUUCGCUGAAUUUGAUGACGUGUAAGUUUUGUCUGGAGGAGACAUUAUCUUAGCCUUUUUAGUGGUGCAGCAGGUGUGCUAACACUUUUUUUUGUUUUUAGGGUAGAUUUUUGUGAGCUGAUGGUGAGGUUAUUGACGCCGACUUUCCUGUCGAUGAUGCUGGACAGAGUAAAGGCUUUUGCUAUGUGGCAUUUGCCACAAAGAAAGCUGCCAAGAAGUUAAUUUUGUUUACUUUGUUUCUGGUAUUUUGUGGUCUUAAGAGCCAAGCAAUUAUGCAGUUUUUUUCCUGCUUAAAGUUCUGUCCUCCAAGUGCCCGCUAAUACAAAUCAUGCAAAUUUGUCUUCUUGAAGGCACGUCGUGAAAUGGCAAGGAUCUCGGGGGUUAUGUUGUUAAAAUCGAGUUUGCCCCAAAAGGUGCUUUCACUCCGCGUAGUAGGUAAUAUGAAUUUAAUAUUUCUUCUGGUACUCUACUGAUUUCUGCACCAUUGCUGUUACCAUUUGGUUAUUAAACCGUAGACAUGAUACCUUGGCAGGGAUGGCAGCGGACCGAGGCAGAUGUAGGGGCCAUGGUUACAGUCCUUGCUAGUGCCGGUAAAGUUAAUUUCUACUGCACUUUGAGCAGCAUCUCGCGGUGCUACCGUACUGCUGGGAUGAGUGGCAAUCGCUAACUCGUGUACAAACUGUUUGUUUUGCAGAAAAAGAUACCUUCAGCGAAGAUGAGUGGGUUUAAGCUGUUUUAGAAUCUGUCUUUCACUGUUUAAGUACAAAUUGGGAUGAAACCAUCUACACUGUUUUCAAGAUAGUGUAUCUUGCAUGUGGCCAAUGUUAGAUGGCUGGGCUGCAGCCUGCAGUGAACGAUUAACCCGAAAAAUAUGUGUCCCGUUUGACUAAAGCUACUAAACUUCAGGUGCCGUUUGGUUGGUGUAGUUGUAACGUCAACUGAUAAAUCCACAAUUCUUUAUGCUUCAAAAUGGAUAGUACUGAUCCUGGCGUCGAUGGCUGAUUCUCUUUGCAAGUUGAAAUAACGGAUAGUACUGAUCAAUUCAAUCUGCUGUGCAGGGAAAUCAUUGCUUCAAUUUGUGUACUCAAUUUUUUGUGCGGUGUCCCUGCAAGGGAUUUCUGCCGUAUGGCUAGUGUUGGACCAGGCGCAGGGGUCGUAUUAAUACCCGUUAUCAGAUACCGUUACAUGCUUCAACCAAACAAAUCUCGUUUUCACUCGUUCUGUAACCAUUCCCUCAUAGCAGUUGCGAAGUGCCGGUUCUGCCCACGCCGGACGGAGAAGCGGUGUCCAAACGGCAACACGCACGGAGCAGCACCAUCAGCACCGGGAAGUGCCUCCCGGCCGGCACGCCACCAUCAGACCAAGCCGAGACACGGCCACGACUGCGGCUGCGGCUGCACGAGUGCGCACUGCCGCGGCACGGCGGUGUGGACUGUGCUGGAGUGUUGACCCGUCAGGUGGGACGGACCCACCUUGCCUUUGGUCGUCGAUCCACAUUGCUCGACCCAUAUGGGGCCGUGGCGCAACCCCCGCAACCCCAAGCCCCAAGGUUAUGAGCUUUGUGAGCUACUAGGCGUGCAGGCGGGGCUGGCCGCAACCCCGCAAAGCUUGCCGCUAGCGUAUUUUUGCGGGUUCGCGACUGUCCACAAAUGUUCGUGGACUUCGUGGAAGGAAACGAUAUAUCCCGCAUGGAUAGGAAGAUGGCUUGCUAGCCCACCACUCCGUGCGCAUGCACGGCGUCUCCGGCAUAAGAGCAACGCACCACAAAAUUGUUGUAUUGAGAUUCAUGGCUCCAGAUGUUUGGACAAUGCCAGGGCGGUAUCACAAUUGACGCCAGGUUCAGACGACUGGAUUAGCAAUCAUGUGUUUGAUGUCUCGAUACAGGCACAUUUUUCACAAUUAUUGUGUGAUUUUUAUUUUUAGCAUGAGUGCUAAAAAGAGACACUAAAAUUUUAGAAGCUUGAAAGUAUCAGUACUACUCCGUAUUGGAUAUAUGUGGCUCUGCACCGAUCCUUUUUUUUUCGAAUCAAUGCUUCCAAUCCAUGAGGAAUGCAAAAGAGGAAUAGUUCAGAGAAGAGGUGUUGGAACUAGCCCUAAGAUCACUCACGCUCACGCACAGACGCAAGGAGGAAGAUAAACAGUAAUUUCCGGCGACGAACGCUGCGGCCGCCGAACGGCCUGAAUCUUAGCCUGCUAUUCAACUCAAAAUGGACUCGAACGCCAACACCUGAGAGUACAGUGGCCUUUUAUAGACCUGGGAACACACACAUGCCUAGAGCCCGGACUCCAUUCUCCCGGUGUUCAAGCUGUGAUCUGCGAGAUCCGGCACGUCGUAUGCACCAGCUCCAACUUCACGCACGACUCGCCCAAUCCUCACGCCACACGCACGCCAACUGACUCCGUCCCAGCUGCACAACGGACUUGCCGCACAAGUCGAUCGCCUGGACUCGAUCAAACCCAAACAAACUAACUGACUCAGCGUGGACGCACGCGACACGACGCACGCUAGGCACACACCAUGGCGUGGUUUAUUCCUAACGAACUCUCCCUAAACCACGACACGCCGCGCGUCCCGGCCUACAGGAGCGUCGGCUCAUCGUCGGCGUCAGCGAACAACGCCUCCUCCUUCCUUGGCUUGGGACACUCCCUCGAGAAGUGACUGCGGACGCUACAGUUGAAGCACUUGCCCUUGCCGGAGCUGCGUCGACGCCUGCUUGCACCCAAACAGACGCUGCUCCCCCUGUCGUCGUCGUCGUUGUCGUCUUCAUGGCCGCCAUUACGGCCUCCCUUCCUGUCGCCGUGGCGCGCGCGUUCCUUCUCACGACGUUGACGCCGGCAUCAAUUGAAGUCGCUCAACGGCUGCAGAAGAAGCCGGCUUGCUCUGGUUGCUCUUGGCUGACGGACGAAACUGACGAAGUGAACGGGGAAAGCUUCAGAGUUGCCUGACACAAGACGUCUGCGGCAACAGAGUAUCCUCUGAAUCAUUCAUGUUUGCCCGUGAAAAACAAAUAAGCAUUUCUCAGCUUCCACCAAAGGCCCAGGGAAUCCAAAAUCCUAGCCAAUAUCUGUGGCGUUGGCGGAUCAUGGAGUUCAGGAGUUGGCAGAGGAAGGGCCGAAGGGGUUGGCCGUUGGCCUGAGAAGAAGAGGAACACACGCUGCCACUCUGCCAGGCCGCGCCAUCGGAGAGCUACAGGCUCCAUGCACCCUCACCGUCUCUGGCAACCGCCGAGCUCUAGACUAGACGCCAGCCGCCACCGCCACCGUGCCCCCGGCCGGAAUCGGGAAGCUCUGUCUUCACCCUCUCAAGCCCUAGCACAAGCGCUCCGGUCCGUUCCUCGUUGUUUCCCUCAGCAAAGGCCUCCGGCGCUCGCUUCGUCGGCAGUAGCCGAGGAUCCGAGAUGAGCGAGCAGCCGAGGUCGCGCGGAGGCCGGGAAUGUCCGUCGCAGGCCGCAGGUGGGCGCUGCGUCUCCGCCCUCACGGCGGCAACUACGACCGGCGGUUGGUCUCGCUUCUGCUCUGCAUUUUCUGCAGAAUGAUACCGGGCCGAACUGCGCUCGUCUCUGUAUGCCGACCGCCUCCACCUCUGCCGGCAAUGGCAUGUCUCCGCGGCGGCCGCUACCAUUUCCUUGUUCAGUUCGCCGGAAGUAGUGGAUAGGGGCGGGUUCUCUGAGGUUCACAGGCCAGAGGCAACAGAGCCGUGCAAGCACAUCAGAACCCGUAGCGUAUACUCGGUUCUGAACUUCUGAUGAUACUACUCCAUGGAAAAUAAGAAGCAGACUGCAGUGUCUGAAUUAUGGAACAGAGAUGGUUAUCUCCAGCCCUUCAGCAGGAAAAACUGCACAAUAAUUUGGUAAGAAAUAUGGUUCCAUCUAGCAAUCUGAAGUAGACUGCAGAUGAAACAAAUUAACCAAAAUGACUGACACUGACUAUGAAAGAGAAGGCAGCAGCAUCGAUGCAACCAUAUACGACCACGUAGGUCUGAAGCACGAGACGAUGAAAAAGGCUGUGAAACUCUUUUUUUCCAUUAUCUUUAAAAAUUUAUGAAGCACGAGACGUGCAAAAAGGCCAAAACUCUUUUUUUUCUCUACUUAUCUUUUAAAAAAGGCUUGAACCACGAAGCAUAUGCUCUGCACUUCUAGAUGUUGUUUUCACUUGAUUCGGCAUUCAGCAACAAUAAGCCAUUUGCUGUUGAGGAUGUUUUGCAGAGACUGCACUAAGCAGCAAACUAGCAAUAACUAUGCAAUUUUUGUAGACAGCAAUAAAUUGCCCAAGAUUCUAUGUCCCUCUGGAAAAUUACUUGGGGUGAUUGCAGAUCAUGUUGAAUGAGGGUUGGUCAGAUGGAAGAAAAAAAAGAGGGCUGGUCAGAUGGGACGUGUUUCAGAUCAUGUAUAUGUGGGUAUGGCUAUAUAUUGCACCAAAACUAACUGAUUCUCCUUCAAAUGGAAGAAACAAGCUGGAAAGUUUCUAAAAGAAAUGGACAAAAACAUACACCUUGUCUAGAGAGAAGUGGCAGAUGAGAAACAAAAUCUGCAAACAUGAACUUUGUGGAGUACAUUUUAGGAUCGGGAGGCAUCCGGAAAACCAGUAAAACCUCCACCGGAAGCAUAGUUCGAUGUGUCUCAUGGACAGUGUCCAACUUCAGCAAUCGGGCAGCUUUGCAUUCUCCUGUAGCCUUGAAGCAUAGGCCCCAAAACAACCACCACAACCCAUUCUCGAACAUGUUCCAUUCCCCUUCCCGCAACAUAAGGUGAAGAGGGUUAAGCAGUGACAACUGCAAAUCUGUUUGGCCAAGCGGGAUGGAAGUUGUGUUAAGGUUGCUGCGGCUGAAGAAUGAAAGUUCGAGCAAAAGUGGUUUCAGCUAGAGCAUUGGUGUGCUUUCAUACAAACUGGCGAGGUAGAAUUUUGCCGGAAAACAAAUCUUACAGUUAUCGCUUUGCUCUCAUGUUUGAUGUCUUUUAAUAAAAUCAUAUUUCUUAUUACUGCGUGAUUGUUUUCUUUUUCGAGAAUACGUAGGAGAACUGCAUAUCUUUUUAUUAAGAAGAAAAAUGAACAUAGUUCUUACAACGCGGGUCUUCCCGGACGCACGCACGCGGUUAUUUUACAUGUUGUGAAAUUACAUUGCGAAACCAAAACAACUUAGAAAAGAGCACAGGCACCAUCAGGGAGCUAAAGUGCUAAGUGUUGAAGCUCGUUCAGCUGCAGCCGGCCAUCCUAAAACUGACAUCAUAGUAGCACCGGUUUCUAUCCAGAGCUGUGCUUGCUGGGUGAUGGCCAUGGUGAUCUGAGCAGUUGACUGCGCUGUCAAUCGUCCAAAGACUCUGUCAUUCCGUUCUCGCCAAAUGGUCCAAGAGAUCAACAUGAAAGAGGAGUCGAGGCCCUUUCGUUUGUGCCUGUUAAAACCCAGACGCAUCUGCAUCCACUAGUCGACCAGCGACCCUAUUGGAAUAGGAGUUUGGAUGUUGAGUAGUCUGCUGAUUGCAUACCAAACCUCCUUGGUGUAGCAACAAUCCAUGAAGAGGUGAUCGGUGGUCUCCACUCCUUGGUCACAAAGUGCGCAAUUUGAAUUAUCUUCGAGGCCUCGUUUGUGCCUCGUUGCUGCAGUCCACAACCUGUUUUUGAUUGCUAGCCACAUGAAGAACUUGAUUUUCAAUGGUGCCCAAGUCUUCCGGAUCGCAUUGGCUGCAGGGAAAGUCGUGGCUCCGAGGAAUAGGAAUCUAUAAGCUGAUUUGGCCAAGUAAGUGCCUGUUGCUUCCCAUUUCUAUGACAAAGUGUCCUCAACCCCCGGCUGAAGGACGACUGAAUUGACCGAGUGCCAUAACUGAAUAUACUGAAACAAAGCUUCUACUAUUGGCUGUCCGACAACAUCAGACACCCAACGUUUGUCCAUCAGAGCUUCAGCAACCGUUCGCGAUUUGGCAAUCCUCGGCCUUACCAAUCUACAGAGAUCAGGUGCGAUGUCGCAUGGGAAAGCAUCUCCAUUCCAUCUAUCUUUCCAGAACAGCGCUAGGUUGCCAUCUCCUAGUCGCACAGUGAUCGACGCCUGGAACAUCUGACGGAGGAGCGGAUCGUCUGCAAACUGAACUUGCAGAUAUUUCCAUGGUCGGUUGGCGUCAGUGCGUUGCAGCCAAAGCCAUCUCAGCCGCAGUGCAUAGGAGGCCAACUUGAGAUCCUGGAUCCCCAAUCCUCCAAACCUUGUCGGCCUGCAAGUCCCUGUCCAUGCCACCAUGCAGUGUCCUCCUUGGCAAGUUUGCUUCCCCGCCCACAAGAAACCCCGGCGGCGUUUGUCUAUUUCAUGAAUAACCCAGUCCGGCAGCUUCAAGGGGAUGAUGGUGUGAAUUGGAAUUGAACUCAUGACACUUUUAACAGUGGUGAGCCUACCUGCCUUGUUCAUAAGAGGAGCUCUCCAGGCCGGCAUGCUGCGCAAGAUUUUAUCCACCAGAGGUUGGAAAUGCACCUUUCGCAACCGGCCUGUUGACAGUGGCAAACCGAGAUACUGAAUUGGGAAGUCUGAUAGACGAGCCGGCAAUGAUUCUGCCAAUCUGCAGUUUAGAGCAUGCAAUCGGAGCAAUGAGGCUUUUAUGCAGAUUUGCGUGUAAGCCGGAGGCGUUGGCAAAGAAAAGCAGCAGCUCCCUGAUUGCCACCACAUCUCCCACUUUCGGUGCAAGGAACAACAUGACAUCGUCGGCAUACACUGAACAUUGGUGGUGUAUGGCCGGGCUUGCAGGCAGCGACAGAAUGCCUUCCUAGGCUGCCUUCCUAAUAUGACGGUGCAGCACCUUCAUCAUCAAGAUGAAAAGCAUUGGAGACAAUGGAUCCCCUUGCCUCACCCCUCUUGCAUUGUGAAUUGUCCUCCCAGGUUCCCCAUUCAGAAGGAUUCUAGUGGAAGUAGAUGAGGUUAGAGAAGCAAUCCAGUCUCGACAUCGUCUGCCAAACCCCAUGGCUUCCAGAACCCGUAGCAUAAAGACCCAGUCCACGGUGUCAAAAGCUUUGGAGAUGUCAAGCUUCAACAGCAGCGAUGGUUUUUUCUUUCUGUAGAGCAACUUGGCAGCCUGCUCGACGUGCUUAAAGUUAUCAUGGAUUGAUCGCCCCUUGAUGAAAGUUACCCUGUGCGUGAUUGUUUUCUUUAGGUGAAACCAUGUGUCAUCACGAGCACUCAGAAAAAGAGGAGACAACGAUAUAUAGAAAAAGGAAAGCAGAGGCCAUGAUUGGAUAUCCAAAUCAAGGUGGUGAUACGCACUAUCUACGUCAAAUCAAGAGCCAAUGAACCGAAUGAAAUGAGAAGCAAAAGCAUAUUUGGCUCUCGUCGAGACCAUCUAGAAUAGUAGUGUGUGAAACAGACACAGGAAUUUCAGAGGUUGUGUAGGUGUAAAAUUCGUCCCGGUCCAAGAAUAUCUCUGACAUGCUGCCAAAUGUAAAAGGAAAAGGAGAAAUUGUGAAUAUUUUCUUUACAUGUACAGUAAGAGUCCUACAUACACUAGCAAAACUCGAAUUCAAAAAAUGAACAGUUAUGAGAGGAAUGGUGAUAUCUUGCUAGGAGCCACCGAUCAUGCUAUAGUAUGCUACUAUACCCAGCAUUGCUGGUAUAUCAAGGCAUAUUUGGCCAGAGAUUCAUAGUGCCAACCAUAUACGCUAGCGACAGAAAGGUGGACGGAAUGGUUUUCAAUCUCAUAAAUGGCUGUCAUACAAACACGGUUAAAUAGGGAACAUGUGCACAACCAAAGAGUUUGAGAAUGCAACUUUUGCAUCUGAGUUAGACACAAGCAUAUGCUAUCCCAAGGUGCCAAGCAGGUGCAUCCCAAUCUCCCAGUCUUUAUUCAUCAAACACGGAUAUGGGAAUGCAGCUUAUAUAAUAAGUAGCAUCAUCCCUUUCAAUCAAUAUUUUGUAGCCAUAGAAAUAAAUUACCAAAGAUUCUAUGUCCCUCUGAAAUUUUACUUGGGGUGAUUGUUGAUCAAAUUGAAUGAGGGUUGUUCAGGUGGGACAUGUUUCAGACCACGUAUGUGGCUAUGCACUGCACCAAACCUUACACAUUCGUCUUCAAAUGGAAGAAACAACAAGUACGUGAGUUCUGCAAUAUAUAACUGGACAGAAACAAGCAACCUCUAGUGUCCAUCGUCUAUAGAAAAUUAUGGUUGAUGUAAACUAGAAAUCUGUAAAGACCAUGAACCUUGUUGAGUGCAUUCUGUUUUUUGGACUGGUAGGCAUUAGGAAAACCUUCAAAACUUUCACCACAAGGAUAGUUCCAUGUGUACCAUGGAUAGUGUAGGUAGUCGGUAGCCUCCCAACAUCCUAUCCAUCAUAGCGGAGUGUCGGAUGUGGAUAUGGUGCAACAUAGGGGUCCAAAACCACAGCAAAUACGAGUUUCGAACAUGUUUGUUUCCACUUCGAGCUUUCCUGGGUAAAGGAAGAGGGUUAAGCAGUGGAAACUGAGAAUCUACUUGAUCAAAUGGGAUUGGAACUGGGGUUGGUGCAACCGAAGAAAGAUGCUUCGCACAAGCCAUGUCAGCGCUCACCGUCACAUUUCGCAAAUCUUCAUAGGCACUGCUUGCACAAGAUUUUUUUUUUCUUCAAUACUACAGCAUAACUGAUUUCUUUAGGUGGAAGACAUCACGAGCACUAAGAAAAGAGAGAACGAUAUCAAAAAAGAAAAGCAGAGGCCAUGAGUGGAGCAUCCAAAUCAAGGUGGUGGUAUGCACUAAUCUAGUCAAAUCAAGAAUCAAUCAAGCAACUGGAGUUGGUAAGAUUGUAAUUGCACUGACCUAAUCAAAUGAGAAGCAAUCAUAUUUGACUCUUAUCGAGACCUUCUACAAUAGUGGAGUGAGAAACCACCACUGAAAUUUCAGAAGGUCAUGUAGUUGUACAAUCCGUCCUGGUCUAAAAAUAUCUGAAUAAACUGGGAGGUCUUUUCAUUGAACUCCGUCCUAUUUUUCCAGAAAUUUCUGAAGACCCAAGGCUGCAGCGUUUGUUGAAAACGGUAGGGAAUACACAAAAAAAAUUGAUUCGCCAUCUUCUUUUGCACUUCAUGAGAUACAACACGAAAGCAUUACAUCAGACAUCUUGAUUCAUGUAUGAUCAUAGAACCUGAUCCUAAAUCAGCAUGCGGAAACAUGCAGGCAUAAAAAAAUCUGGUACCUUGCCAAAUGCGAAGAUGAAAUUUUAAUAUUUUUUGUUCUAUGUAUAGCAAUAAUAAAAGAAUACAUAGCUAGCUAACUCAGAUGUAACAAAUGAUCAAUAACAAGGUAUGGUAGUCUUUUUGCCGGGAGACACCAAUCGCCACAGCAGUACUACUAUUCCCAAUUCGGAAUCACAGGAGGAACACACAAUCGAAUGCAUAUUAAGGCAUGUUUGGCCACAAAUCCAUAAUGUUAAAACCAUAUAUGGUAGCAACGAUAGAAAGGUGGACAAAAUGGUUUUCAGUCUCAUAAAUGGCUGUCAUACAAACACGGUUAAAUAGGGAACAGGUGCCAUAACCAAAGAGUUUCAGAAUGCAACUUUUGCAUCUGAGCUAGACACAAGCAU
rnacentral:lncRNA from 1 species